GGAUCUAUAGCAUAACUGGAUAAUGCACUCGGUUUCUACCCGAGCGACUGUGGGUUCGAGUCCCACUGGAUCCA
rnacentral:tRNA from 1 species